CUUGGAGAAUUUUUUUUUUAAAUGCUGAUGCCCUGGUCACCUCUGAGACCAAAGUAAGUCCCUGUUGUAUGUUAUGAUUUCUCAUAGUUCCUCCAAGUGACUGUAACAGUAGGCCUGAAAGCCUCCGCUGUGACAGGAACUGCUAGUUGCCUGUCCACACAGGUCUUUCUGAGGGCAUCUGACCCUCCUCUGGAAACCCCACUCAGCGAAGCUCAUGGGAGAUUGGCUUCCACCAGCCCUAUUGAAAGUCUGCCUGAAGUCAAGGCAGCACAGAUGAAAAGAGAAUCAAAGAUGGAGUGGAAGACUGAAAGGUCAUUAAAAGCCUGUGGGAAGCCAGAUACCUGCCCCAACAGAAACAAAGGAGUUUGACUUUUCACUGGGGCCAUUUGAGCUGUUGUCUGUGAUGAACUCAUAGCAGAGGUUAUUCAUCACAUAACUAUGUUACUUUGAAAUGCAGAAAAUGAGUUCCAACUUAACAGACCAUCAAAUGAGUGGUUUGGAUGAUCAAGGUCAAAAUGCAGCAACAAGGGAAGAUGCUUCUACUUUCAGGGAUGUGACUGUCAGAGAAGAGGGUAAGAAAGAUGAAACAAAUGUGCUCUUGGCUGUUUUCUUCAGUGAGCAUUGAGUCAUGAUAGCUGGUACAUGUGCAUCAAAUGGUAAAGCUUCAAUAACACACACUAAGCUGCCGCUAACCAAGACUCCGACCAGCAGAGCCGAGGAAAGGACAACACUGACGCCAAGAAGACCAGAGUUCAGUUUCCAGCACCCAUGUCGAGCAGCUCACAACCUCC